UACGUAGGGUGCAAGCGUUGUCCGGAAUUAUUGGGCGUAAAGAGCUCGUAGGCGGUCUGUCGCGUCUGCUGUGAAAACUCGGGGCUUAACCCCGGGCCUGCAGUGGGUACGGGCAGACUAGAGUGCGGUAGGGGAGACUGGAAUUCCUGGUGUAGCGGUGAAAUGCGCAGAUAUCAGGAGGAACACCGGUGGCGAAGGCGGGUCUCUGGGCCGUAACUGACGCUCAUGCACGAAAGCGUGGGGAGCAAACAGG
rnacentral:rRNA from 1 species